rnacentral:piRNA from 1 species
UGCAUUCUUUAACUCAUGGCCCCUCCCUCC